rnacentral:tRNA from 1 species
UAGUUCAGCUGGUAAAGAAUCUGCUUGCAAAGCAGGAGACCCAGGUUCAAUUCCUGG